GGAUGCUGGCUAGUCGAUACACGAGCGCAAGAGAGAGCCUCGCAAAUGGGUUUAGCGUUGCCCGCUGAGGAUUGUCAGGUCCGACGUACGCUGCCCAAUGGAUCGCAUAUCCAAUGCGCUGCACUUGUAAAUGUAGCCCAUAAUGGGCGACUAGACUCUCAGCAGGACAUGAAAGAUUAAAUAAGUUUGCGAUUCCAAUCGCAGCGAGUCGGAAGGGGCCGCGGGCCAAAGAAACAGAGGCUACUGUUUGCGGAGAUCACGUAGCAAAGGACAGUCGAAGCCGAAUCAUUGCCGGCUCGAUUUCAGUCAAACUGAAUCAUCCGCAACGAUUCCACUGUUUAUUCUCAUCACUUUGAGACACACUGAUUACGAUUCAGUCAGCUGUUGCCUCAUUUGCUUGAGUUCAUUUUCAUGAUUUACAUUCAGCGGUUAAGCAUUCACAUUUCGAUUGGCUGAACAUUUGAUUGCCCGUGUUUCUUGGGGUGUUUUUUCCCCGUGUGUCUGCCAGCCCACCUCCUGUGACAGCUCCAGUGAGCGAGAGCCGCUCAGCACAGUUUGAACAGCGGUAACUUGAUGUGUAAACAAGCUGCUGUGCUAUCAUGUAAAUUAGGGCACUGGCCUGGAACAUGAGGGGGAGAGGAGAGGAAAGGAGAUGAGAGGAGAGGAGAGGAGAGGAGAGGAGAGGAGAGGAGAGGAGAGGAGAGGAGAGGAGAGGAGAGGAGAGGAGGAGAGAGGAGGGAAGUGAUCUCUGUGUCUUUACCUUUUGAUUUGUCAUCAUAUCAUGACCAAUUGUUAUAGUGAUUAAUAGCGAAUAGUAAUUGAGUUUGUUCUGAUGAAAACCUUAAUCAAACGCUGUUCUCUUUCCACCAUCAUACAAUUCCUUCAGCAAUUUCAUCUUAAUAGUCCUAGUGAGCUGGACCAGCCCACAUCAUGUCAUUGUAUAUGAUGCAGAUGCAUUCAUAAAGGGAGUCUCCAUCACGGUUGCCCUAUAGGUUCUUUGUUUACAAAACCGUCCCAACUUAAUUAGCAUUGUUGCGUAAUUUACCCAGGUCCUCUUUUAUCCUAAUACAAUAUGCACUUUGGAUCCUCCUGGGUGACACUUGGAAGGCUUAAUCCCCUGGCAUGUGUAGCCAUGGUUAUUACCAUGACGUCGGAGAAGCUAGCUCUGUUGUCGCCGUAAUGAGCCUCCCUUUUUUUCAUUCACUAAAAGGAGCAGCUUGAGCCAAUGAAUCCCUUUAUAGCAUGCUAACGCUACAGACACGCUAACCCACACACGACGCAGGCAGACACAGACACACACAUAUGCCAUAGCCUGAGAUGCCUCCCACUACAUAAGCACAUAAGGGGAUCAGGAUUAUUUAGGCAACGGUGAAAUCAUGUCAAUCGUGCCAGUACAAGAGAGCACAAUCUCUUUAGCGUCGACUGCGCCCCCAUCCACUCCACACAUGAAUGGGUGCUUAAGGAAGACCUCACGCUGUUCUGCAUUCGCAAUGCUCAGCAUCCGUGCUCCCCCUUUAUGUCCCUCUGAGGCUGAAGUUGGGAGUGCUGCUUAUCGUACAGCUAUUAGCAGCCACGGGCCUCGGCAGAAACUGGUACCGAUUGCUUCGCCGACUUCCAGACCAUGUUACCAUGGCAGCGGCAGUCAAAGCUGCUCAGUCAGGAGGAAGAGGAAUGACGUUGUCAGCUGGGUGAAGAUGAAGAAAAGGCACCAGGUUCCCAGUUUAUGCGUUUGAGGUGCGUUACAGUGGCAUCUUUUCAAGCCCCUUUCCCGGGACAUUAAACACGUUGCUUUAUAUCUGUCUGUUCCUCUUGGAGGUGGUUUCGGCUGUGCUUAUUGUCGUUGCCGGUUUGGCCCUGUUUGAUAUGCAGCAUUGUUGUGGCUGUGAUAAUGCCAGGCUUGUUGCGGAACUGAAGGAAGGCUUUGUCUACAUGUAAAAUACACAGAGGAAACUCAAGUGCAUGAAAAAGUUGCUCUUCCUGAGCAAGCAUUGCA
ensembl:lncRNA